AUCCUCAGCAGGCCAAGCCCUACCAGCCCGCCUACCCUUCAAACCCUCAGCAGCCCAAACCUCAGCAGGCCGAACCCCUGCAAGGGGUGCUCCAAAGUAAAGCUGGCAUGUGGGAUUUUACUUCCCAACGAAGUGUUGCUUCUGGCUCUAAGGUGCAGCCCACUGACUCAAACUCGCACUUGAAUGUUGACCCAAGAAGUUUGAGAGAAAUUCCAAUAACAUUCUUGAACCAGCCCAGGUGACAGCAGCAACUGGUGCCAGUGUAGAACAUACAUCAUUGACCUUCCUAACUGUUCCUGAACUUGCCUGGAAGCCGUCUGAACUGGCAUCAACUUUGAAUUUAAUAAAAUACUUGGAACACACUCUCUUUGGAUGUUAUUUGAAACUUUACUUGUGUGCUGUGCUGUAGACAGUGCUGCACCCUUACUUCCUGAACAUGUCCACAACCACUUGCUUGUUUCCUUUGAACUUCAGGGGCUUGUUUUCCUGGCUAGGUACAAUAACAUUGUGAACAGCAGCUCACAAUAAUGUGUAUGCAAAUAUAUGUAUUGACCAGCAAGUUUAAAAGAAUUGACUAAGAAUGUUCUUCACUUAACAUUUGAAAGUUUGAUGACUUAAAGGCUAUGAGAACUUUCAAGGAUGAGUGUCCAAUAUUAUUUCAAAGUGUCAGACUCUGUGGUUCCUAAUGAGGUUUAUUGGACUACACAUGACAAACUUGUAUCACCUAAAACAACAUCUUCAGAAACAUUGCAGUUUAUGCUUUAUACCAUGCUGCUGAAUUGAUUGUCAUAUAAUGCAUAUGUUUGUGUAUUUCAUUCCUGAUGUGUAUAGGUCCUGUUAGGCAUGUGUGUAACUGUUAAUCAAAAACAGAUUGCAACACUGAGAGAAUUAAAAAGUAUGCCUCCUUCUAUAGAGUAAGAAGGGUGAGCUGGAGGGCCCUGUGGAUGGAUUUGUCAAAGAUAUGAUGGAGCUGGUGAAGCCCAGCAUCAGUGGC